UGGAGGACAUCAAAUUUCAUCAGUAUGUAGCCUAAUUCUCAGGUCUAGUUGAUUUCCUAUGUUGUUUUGUAAGUUAUCAGGGCAGAUGCUGAUUUAGAGGGUGUUUGUCUUAACUUAUAAGCUUAUAAGCUUUAAAAAUAAGCUCACCCAUUUGUUUAUAUCAUUUUUUUGGGCUUAUAAGCUGCUAAAAGAAAAAAAAAUAGCUUAUAAGCUAACCAAAUAAGCUGGGGGAGAUCAACUUUUCUUUUUGGGGCUUAUCAGCUAGUUUGACCAAAUAUUUUUUUACCAAUUUACUCUUAUUUAAUUUUUAAAUUUCACUACAUUUCGCAUUUAAUACCUUUUUUUAUUAAUUUUAACAAUAAAUAUACUUAUAAGCUAUUUUUUUUUACUAAAUGAGUCAGCUACAUAUCAGUCACAUAUAAACACUUUAACUAAACACAUAAUUGUUUAAAAUUUUAAAUGCUUAUAAGUUCAAAUUAGCUUUUAAGUACUAGUUGCUUAUAAGCUGAUUUUCAUAAGUUAAAUCAAACACCCUCUUAGUAUGAAUAUUUUGCUGGGUUUUCUCGGCUAUUCAUUCAGGCGGUAAGAUGGUAAGUAGGAAUAGGAAAGGGAAAAUUUUGCUGGAAUUUCCUUUCAUGUUGACAAUAACAUUGUUUAAGGCUCCCAGGCUGUAUGAUGUUUUGACUAGAUGUAUUUGUUUGUGUAGGUGUGAGUUGUUCAAUACCUCUCUUGACCAAUAUGUAAGGAGCAUAGCGUAGAAGCUCAGGUAGCACUCAGUUGCUGUCAUCUGGCUAUGCGCUGGUUUCAGGUUUAUUUUAAGGAGGAAAUGAUUAAGGAUCUGGUUGACCACUGUCCAAGCCUAGCUCCUAUUACACCUUAAGAUUUGAUUUUGAAGGUCAGUUGAGUUGCAUAUUUUGUGGAUACAUUGUGCUUGUACAAUUUCAAAUUGCGACGAAAGUGAAUAGUCUUUCCUUUUCAUUCAUGAAUUGAUAGAUCUACUUUGUGAUAUGUUGUGCCACCAUAACUUCAAAAUGUGCCAAGUGCAAUGGUCUAUCCUUGUCUUUUGAGGACGUAAAAGACAUGUUCAAUUAUGUAUUCCAUCACCAUCAUUACGAGUCCAUUUCUAGAAGAAAAUAAGACUUUUUGUGGGGUGUUAUGUCUUGAAAUUAUUGGGGGGUUAUAUCUUUAGGAACCGUGAACAGCCCUACUUUCUGCUAUUAUCACCUUCCCUGCCACUACUGCCGCUCACCAUGAAACCCUCACCUUUGAGGUCCUUCACCUCAGCAAGCCUGACGUCCACCAAGCCCUUCUGUCCAUCUCUAAAAGCCACUCCGUUAAUGCCCUAAUUAAGAACUUCUGUGCUGCUUCUCUCUGUUGCUGCUGAUCUCAACAUCCUUGGUUAUUUCUUCUUUACUUCUGCUGCUUUGCCCCUUUCCUGUGUUUUCCUACCAUUCAUGAGAACACUAUCAAAAAAUUUUAAAGAUCUUAACACUUUACUCCAUGUUCCGGGUAUGCCACCACUACUUUCCUUAGACAUGCCAAAGCCGAUGCUCGAUUGCUAUGACAAGGCCUAUGAAUACCUUCUAGAGUUCGCGCUCUGGUUUCCCAAGUCAGCGGGAAUUAUAGCAAAUACCUUUGAAUUGCUGGAGGCCAAAGCUGUUACGGCAGUAGAAGAUGGGCUAUUUGUACUUGAUACGUUGAGAUUCUUUUAUAAUUAAUUUGUGAAAAAAAUUAUGGGUAAUUUUGUCACCGUCACAUAAAUGAGAGAGAAUUAUUCAUCACUUUGGAUUGUAAAAUUAAUUAUUGAAAGUUAAAA
rnacentral:misc_RNA from 1 species